GAUGAACGCUGGCGGCGUGCCUAAUACAUGCAAGUCGAGCGAACAGACGAGGAGCUUGCUCCUCUGACGUUAGCGGCGGACGGGUGAGUAACACGUGGAUAACCUACCUAUAAGACUGGGAUAACUUCGGGAAACCGGAGCUAAUACCGGAUAAUAUAUUGAACCGCAUGGUUCAAUAGUGAAAGACGGUUUUGCUGUCACUUAUAGAUGGAUCCGCGCCGCAUUAGCUAGUCGGUAAGGUGACGGCUUACCAAGGCAACGAUGCGUAGCCGACCUGAGAGGGUGAUCGGCCACACUGGAACUGAGACACGGUCCAGACUCCUACGGGAGGCAGCAGUAGGGAAUCUUCCGCAAUGGGCGAAAGCCUGACGGAGCAACGCCGCGUGAGUGAUGAAGGUCUUCGGAUCGUAAAACUCUGUUAUUAGGGAAGAACAAAUGUGUAAGUAACUAUGCACGUCUUGACGGUACCUAAUCAGAAAGCCACGGCUAACUACGUC
rnacentral:rRNA from 1 species